CCUACGGGAGGCAGCAGUGGGGAAUAUUGGACAAUGGGCGCAAGCCUGAUCCAGCAAUGCCGCGUGAGUGAUGAAGGCCUUAGGGUCGUAAAGCUCUUUUACCAGGGAUGAUAAUGACAGUACCUGGAGAAUAAGCUCCGGCUAACUCCGUGCCAGCAGCCGCGGUAAUACGGAGGGAGCUAGCGUUGUUCGGAAUUACUGGGCGUAAAGCGUACGUAGGCGGUUAUUCAAGUCAGAGGUGAAAGCCCGGGGCUCAACCCCGGAACGGCCUUUGAAACUAGGUAGCUAGAAUCUUGGAGAGGUCAGUGGAAUUCCGAGUGUAGAGGUGAAAUUCGCAGAUAUUCGGAAGAACACCAGUGGCGAAGGCGACUGACUGGACAAGUAUUGACGCUGAGGUACGAAAGCGUGGGGAGCAAACAGGAUUAGAUACCCUGGUAGUCCACGCCGUAAACGAUGAUAACUAGCUGUCCGGGCACUUGGUGCCUGGGUGGCGCAGCUAACGCAUUAAGUUAUCCGCCUGGGGAGUACGGUCGCAAGAUUAAACUUAAAUGAAUUGACGG
rnacentral:rRNA from 1 species